AUGGAUCCUCCCUACGCAGGAGCUAUUAUUGAACCUGCUAAAUGCCGAUUGAUGAGUGUGGAUGAAAAGAAGGAUCUUGUUCGUGAAUUAUCGAAGAGGCCACAAACUGCUCCUGACAAACUACAGUCAUGGAGUCGGCGUGAUAUUGUAGAGAUUCUUUGUGCUGAUCUUGGAAGGGAAAGGAAAUAUACUGGAUUAUCUAAGCAGAGAAUGCUGGAUUAUCUCUUCAGGGUGGUGACUGGCAAAUCAUCUGGCCCUGUGGUGCAUGUGCAAGAAAAGGAGCCAACUCUCGAUCCCAACGCAAGUAACCAUCAGUACCCUGCGAAACGUCAAAGGAAGAGUGACAAUCCAUCACGACUGCCGAUUGCUGUCAACAAUCCGCAAACCGCAGUUGUACCCGUGCAAAUUAAUAAUGUGCGGUCCUGCCGGAAUAUAGCAUGCAGAGCGAUUCUUAGCAUGGAAGAUAAAUUUUGCAGACGCUGUUCAUGCUGCAUAUGCUUCAAGUAUGAUGACAACAAGGACCCUACCAUAUGGUUGUCCUGUAGUUCAGAUCAUCCCAUGCAAAAGGAUUCUUGCGGGCUAUCAUGCCAUCUUGAGUGUGCUCUCAAGGAUGGAAGAACUGGCAUUCUGCCGAGUGGGCAGUGCAAGAAACUUGAUGGUGCUUAUUACUGCCCUAACUGUCGGAAGCAGCAUGAUUUGCUCAGGUCCUGGAAGAAACAACUAAUGUUAGCUAAAGAGGCUCGGCGGCUGGAUAUAUUGUGUUACCGGAUUUUUCUGGGUCAUAAGGUCCUCUUCUCCACCGAGAAGUACUCGGUCUUGCAUAAAUUUGUUGACAUAGCAAAGCAGAAACUUGAGGCUGAGGUUGGAUCUGUAGCCGGGCAUGGAAGUAUGGGUCGUGGAAUUGUCAGUCGUCUUACUUGUGGUGCUGAAGUUCAGAAACUUUGUGCUGAGGCACUAGAUGUCAUGCAGUCUAAGUUCCCUGUUGAAUCUCCUACUAACUCACAAUUUGAACGAUCCAAUAUGAUGCCAUCGAGCUUCAUAAAGUUUGAACCUAUAACUCCUACAUCUAUCACUGUAGUUUUUGAUUUGGCUCGAUGUCCUUACAUCUCCCAAGGGGUAACUGGCUUUAAAGUAUGGCACCAGGUGGAUGGUACAGGAUUUUACUCGUUAAAUCCAACUGGCACCGUACAUCUAAUGUCAAAAACAUUUGUUGUCACUGAACUCAAGCCAGCUACAUGCUAUGUGAUCAAGGUAACUGCAUUCAGCAACUCCAGUGAGUUUGCGCCAUGGGAAGCCAGGGUAAGUACAAGCUCUCUGAAAGAAAGUGAUCUGAAGGGUUUGGCUCCAGGUGGUGCUGGAUUAGUAGACCAAAAUAACAGGAGCCCAAAGACAAAUAGUGGUGGUCAAUCUGAUCGUUCUUCAGAGGGAGUUGACUCAAACAAUAAUGCAACAGUGUACACUGAUCUUAACAAGUCACCGGAAAGUGAUUUUGAGUACUGUGAAAAUCCUGAGAUCCUUGAUUCAGACAAAGUGCCUCAUCAUCCCAACGGGCCUAGCAAUAACUUGCAAAACAUGCAGAUAGUUGCAGCUAGGGUACCAGAGGUGACUGAACUGGAGGAAGCUCCUGGGCUCUCAGCGUCAGCUUUGGAUGAGGAGCCUAAUUCAACAGUUCAAGCUGCUUUACUUAGGGAGUCUUCAAACUCAAUGGAGCAAAACCAAAGGAGCGAAGUUCCUAUAUCACAGGAUGCAUCAAAUGCAACUGCUGGAGUUGAGUUGGCUCUUGUUCCUCGAUUUGUUGGCUCUAUGCCACCCACUGCACCAAGAGUUAUGGAAACUGGUAAGGAGACUGGUGGAAGGAGCUUCAACACAAAACCUUCUGACAACAUCUUUCAAAAUGGCUCCUCAAAGCCUGAUAGAGAGCCAGGGAAUUCGUCAAACAAAAGAUCGGGUAAAUUCGAGGAUGCUGGCCACAAGGAUGGAUGCCCCGAAGCAACUUAUGAGUACUGUGUCAGGGUGGUGAGGUGGCUGGAGACUGAGGGCUAUAUUGAGACCAACUUCAGGGUGAAGUUCUUGACAUGGUACAGCUUGCGUGCUACCCCGCAUGAUCGGAAGAUUGUCAGCGUGUACGUGGACACCCUCAUCAAUGAUCCUGCAAGCCUCUGCGGCCAGCUGACCGACACCUUCUCGGAGGCGAUCUACAGCAAGAAGCCGCCUUCAGUCCCCUCUGGCUUCUGCAUGAACCUCUGGCAUUAA
rnacentral:rRNA from 1 species